GGGAACAGAAGGACGGGCAGGAGGACAGAGGUCCCCACCUGUCAAAAUGCCUAUCCUGAAGAAUCUGGGAGUGUCAGACCCUAAGGUGCCCCGGGCGGGGACCCUGCCCCUGAGGUCCUCUCGGAACCCCUUUGAAGAAGUUUCAGGGCUGGAGGAAGAAGAGGCCGGGGAGCUGGGGUCCCUCCCCAAUGGAACAUCUUGUCGCCGCCGCGCCACCCUGGAGAAGCUUGCGGGCCUGGCCCCCUUCCGGCUGGGCUGGGCCCCGGGCCGGCGGGCAGGCAGCCCUGGGGAUGGGCAGCCCCGCUCUUUCUUGGGCCGUGUGCUGGUACCAGGGAUACGCAGGAGCUCAGCAGAUUUUGGCCUCCUGGCCCGGCUGCAUGGGACCCGAGCCCACGGCGACGAGGAGGCAGCGGGGGAGGCCGCCCGGAGACUGGCCUUCCUGAGACUGGGGCGUGGAUCC
rnacentral:lncRNA from 1 species